rnacentral:rRNA from 1 species
AACAACGUAUUCCCCCAGAAACGGCGAGUGAAGCUGGACCAGCUCAAGCCAUAGAAUCUCCAUACUUGUAUGGCGAAUCGUAGUCUAUUGAGGCUGUUGUCAGCAUCGCGAUUGGGGACAAGUCCCUUGGAAAAGGGCAGCAUGGAGGGAAAACUCCCGUCUCUACUCCAAUUUGCGGUGGGUACGAUAGGCUUUCUUUGAGUCGAGUUGUUUGGGAAUUCACCUCAAAGUAGGUGGAACCAUCCCUAAAAUAGCUUAAUAUUGGUGCAAAGGCGGAUAGCGAACAAGGUCCGUGAGGGUAAGAUGAAAAGAACUCAGAAAAAUAAAAGUUAAAGAGUACCUGAGACUGUUGAAAGGGACCCGUAUCGUUUCCAGUGUUUUUUCUCGUGCAUAUUUCAUUCACGGAGCAAUUUGCGGGUGCCCUGUGCAUGGGUGUGAAGUCAGGGUCAGUUUGUAUCCUGCGGGAGAUAUUCAUUGAGGAGGGUGAGUCACUUCGGUGAAAGUUAUAUCUCGCUGUCUGGU